AAUAUAUUUUGUAACGAAAAAUAUCAAGAUCAAUGAUGCAUUACUAUAUUGGCUGGUUGUCAGAAAAAUGAUAAAAGAAUUGUAACAUCAAACGUCAAGAAAAUUAAAAAAUCUGAAACGUCCAAACAUGAUAUCACUCCGAAAAAAUUUUGCACAAGAAAUGCGAUACAUAAAACCGGUUUUUGACACUGGUUUAUUCGUGGUUUUACAGAUUAAUCAUCAAUGUGCAACACGUCUUAAAUCGAAUUACAAAAAAUAGACUGAACCGGUUUGAAUUUUUCAUUAAAAAUUAGUAUUAGCAUGUGGGUACCGGUUAGGAUUAUGUAUCACAAGAACCAUAAUGCGUAGUUUAGAGUAAUAGCGCAUCGAUUGUGAGGCGGCAAGGCGCGUGCCACUACUCUCCCUA